GACGAACGCUGGCGGCGUGCUUAACACAUGCAAGUCGAACGGAAAGGCCCUGCUUUUGUGGGGUGCUCGAGUGGCGAACGGGUGAGUAACACGUGAGUAACCUGCCCUUGACUUUGGGAUAACUUCAGGAAACUGGGGCUAAUACCGGAUAGGAGCUCCUGCUGCAUGGUGGGGGUUGGAAAGUUUCGGCGGUUGGGGAUGGACUCGCGGCUUAUCAGCUUGUUGGUGGGGUAGUGGCUUACCAAGGCUUUGACGGGUAGCCGGCCUGGGAGGGUGACCGGCCACAUUGGGACUGAGGUACGGCCCAGAAUCCUACGGGGGGCAGCAGUGGGGAAUAUUGCACAAUGGGGGGAAGGCUGAUGCAGCAACGCCGCGUGCGGGAUGACGGCCUUCGGGUUGUAAACCGCUUUCGCCUGUGACGAAGCGUGAGUGACGGUAAUGGGUAAAGAAGCACCGGCUAACUACGUG
rnacentral:rRNA from 1 species